rnacentral:lncRNA from 10 species
AUCACAUGACGACUCAAAGAGGAUGACAUAUUUCUACUGUCUGGCCUGGGUCAUAUGCUCACUGUUGCAAAAAGAUAGAAAAGACUGCUGUUGGACCACAAAUAUUGUCAGUAAGCCAGCAAGAAGGCAGGCCCUCAGCUGAAUGGCCACAAGGAAAUAAAUUCUACCAACACUGUGAGAAAAUUUGGAUAUGGAAUCAUCCUCAGUCAAGCCAUCAGAUGAAAACACAGCCUGUCAAAUACCUUGAUUAUAGCCUUUUGAGACCCUAACCAGUCAGAUUUCACAUGCCAUGUUCUGUGUGCUUCAAGAUCCGUAAAAUAGGUUUAAAGGAUCUAUGAAUGGCAAAACUGUUGACUUGAAGACCAACUAGAGAAGGUUCAAGAAUGCUAUGGCAAUUGUCAUGAUGUGUCCACUGUGCAUUUUCCUUCUGGCUCCCCGACCUUCUCAGAUGUUUCAGAUAAGAGUUUUUGUUAGCUAAUAGAUCAAGUUGUAUUAUGGAAACCAUUGCAGUCUAAUUUCAUCUGUGUUUAUGAAAAUCUUGCAUAUAUUCUACCUGUAUUGUAUUUUACCUAAGUUAUUAAAAUAUAGUAGCUGGUGAACCAAGACUGUUGUUAUUAUUGUCAUUAUUCUUGUCUUUUUCUCCUCCUCCUUAACAUUAGUUAUAACUUUUCUUUUUUUUUUUUUGAGACGGAGUCUCGCUCUGUCCCCCAGGCUG